GUCAGUACCAAGGAUCUCCUAAUUUUCAAGGAGACUCAAGGCAGCAACUUUCUCUCUAACUGACUUCUUCCAGCCAAGCGGCAACUAAUUAACUCGGCAGUGCCCUCUCAGCCCUGCCUGUAUCCAGAGGUGCAUGCCUUUCCCUGCUGCGGUGGGGUUUUAUUUGUUUGUUCAUGUGUUCGGCCAGAGCACCUCCCUGGCAGAUCUCCGGGCUGGGAUGGGCAGCAGGGUUAGUCCCAUCCUCCCAGCGGUCAAGUGCCAGCACCAUCUCCAGCACCUUAUCCUCGUCAUAAGAGUUUUCCUUGGCAGAUGGGAAGACGGACAGAUGAACCUCAAAGUGCCACGUUCUCAUGCUCAUUGGAAAGUCUAGCAGGCAAUGGCCUGGGGCUCCUUCUGCUUUGAUGAGUCCUGGGUAGGUCUUGCUCAUAUUCUGGAACCAGAGAGACCUGCAAAGCAUUUGUCUAUAGCAUCAAGGGUUCAAGUGUUUCUCUUGAUCUAAAGUCAGAGGAAGAACAAAACACUACUCUGCAAGUAACUCCAAAUAACGUUGAAACUGUUUGCUCCUCACAAUCAAUAUCUGACCUCAGGAAGAAUUAUCCUGAAGCACUUUCUAGAUUCUACCCAGAAGCUGCCAGAAAGGAUGGUGGAGACGCCAUACAUGUGUGUAUCGGGACCACACACACCUGCAGGAAUGACCUCUGCCCAGGCAGCAGCGUCCAGGGCUGUGGGGAGGCAGCACCAGCUGAGCUCCUCUCAGGCAACCUUCGGGGCACCCUCACAGCAUCCGCUCAACAUACUCAGAUCGUCAGCAUCUGGCAGGCAGGUAUGCACCUGGCCACGACAGCAUACAGAGGAGACUUGGACAUGUGAAAAUGGAGAGUGGACGUCAACAUGAAAUUAAACAAGAUCAAGAGUAAAAGAACUCCUGUGGAUGGAGUCUGGAGACAGAGCUUCCGGCUGAGGCCUCACAGCCCAGACAACCUCUGACUGUCCAGCAGCUGCAAAACGAUGGCGCCCACCAUGGGCACAGAGGAGCCAGGAGACAAACGCGGCCUCCUGAGUUCCCAGGGAAGAGGCAAGAGGGGGUAGUUGUGCGGGAGGCAGGAGCAGUUGGAACUGGGAGGUAUCCCUUUGGAGGGCGUGGGCUGGAGGUUUGAGAUAAUCACUUUUCACACAGGAGGGAUAGGCUGGACCCCAGGCGUGGCUCGCAGGGGGCUGUGUGGGGCCUGGCUUCCAGUUCCUGUCCACCCCAGGCUGGUGGGAGGUGAUCUUUGGGUGAUUAGAGGACUGGAUGCCCUUUUGCUCUGGCCUGGGUUUCCAUCCUUCUGAAAUAAAUUGUUUGCUUUACAGUGGAAGACAUACCCUGUUCCUUUAUUUUUCUAAAGCAAAUCCAAUCCACUCUGAGCCUCCAGUAGGCAAGAAGUCUGAGAUCAUCACACCAUGGGCUCCUUCAUCCCUGCCCUGAGUGGGAUGUGGGCCCUGGUGCUUCCUGCUGCCAGGAUCUGGGGUGGCCUGGACUUUUGUCCUUCUCUUUUAUGGGACCAGCAGCCCAGGGUGAGCCUCCACUGAACUUCCUCCUGCCACUGUAUCCCCCUCUGUCUCUCUCUCUCUCUCUAUCUCCCCCCUCUUCCCUCUCCACCUCCUUCCCUUCCCUUCUCCCCUCCCCUCCCCUCCCUUCCUCUGUCCUCCCCUCCCCUCUCCUCCCCUCCUCUUCCCUUCUCUUCUCUUCCCCCUUCCCUUCCCUCCCCUUCCCCCUCCCCUUCUGUCUGUCUCUCUUCCUCCCUCUCUCUGUCUUGCUGUUUCUCUAUGAGGGCUGCUGCAAAGUCCACUCAGUGAAGUCCGCUCCACAGAUCUCAGGCCAGAGACACCCCUCCAUACACAUACAGAGGGCCCAAGGCAGCCUCUCCACGUGUUAGACAGAAUAACAGCCACUAAAGUUGCCCACACUCUAAUCCCAGAAACCUGUAUAUAUGCUGUUACGUGGCAAUAGGGAGUUUGCAGACAGAAUUAAGGCUAUGAACUUUAAAAUAUGGACAUCAUCCUGGUUUAUCUGCUAGGCCCAUGGUGAUCCUGUAGGUCCUUGGAAAGGACGCCUGCAAUGGACUGAAUGGUGCCCUGUGAUGCAGGAAGGAAAAGGCCGGAGACAGUUGAUAUGACAGUCCCUGUCGUGCUCCACUGGCCUGUCCUUGCCCAGGGGUGACGAGCACUGAGACCCCUUCCCGGGAGUGGAGAGGAGAUCUCAGCAAGUGGUUGCCUCAGAGCAGUGGGCACAGGCACCUAGAAUGUUAGAGAGAAAGGGCACCAGGGUGGGCUGGAUGGCGGCCCCCAGGAGAUCUGUCCACAUCCUAAUCCCAGAAGCUGAGAACAUGACUUCACUUGGGAAAAUGGUAAUGCUAUUAAAUUAAGGAUCUUGAGAUGAUAUCAUCCUGAUUAUCUGGGUGUGAUCCCUAAAUCCAAUGGCACACAGAGAAGAUACACGUAAAAAAGAGAAAGCCAUGUGAGGACGGAGGCGAAGAUUUGAGCGGUGCAGCCACAAGCCAUGGAAUGCCUGGGGCCACCAGAGGCCGGAGGAGGCCGGAAGGACCCUCACCAGCACCUUCCAAGGGAGUAUGGCUCUGCCAAGACCUUCACCUUGUGUUUCUGGCCUCCAGAGCUGCACGGAAAACGAAUUUCUCUGGUUUAAAGCAACCCAGCUUGUGGUAAUUUGUUAUAGGAGCCCCAGGAGACUGAUAGAGGCACAAACAUGUGGCAUCAGAUUCCCUGGGACAGCUUUGAAAUGAAUAUUCUUGGCCCACUGUUAAAUUAGUAAAGUAAGGAUUCAUAAUUUCAUAUAUUUAUUUGUAGAGUUGAGGUCUCACCUUGUUGCCCAGGCUGAAGUGCAGUAGCAUAAUCAUGGCUCAUUGCAGCCUUGAACUCCUGGGCUCCAGUGAUCCUCCCACCUCAGCCUUCCUAGUAGCUAGGACUACAGAUACGCACCACCAUGCCUGGCUAAUUUUUUUGUUUGUUUUGUUUUAUUUGUAGAGGUGGGGUCUAGCUGUGUUGGCCAGGCUGGUCUGGAACUCCUGGCCUCAAGUGAUCCUCCCCGCUCGACCUCCCAAAGUGCUGGGAUUACAGACGUGAACCACUGUGACUGGCCUAGGACUCAUACUUUUUAAAAGCUCCCCAGAGGAUUCUUAUAUAGCCAUUUCAUGGGUCUGUGUUUGAGAAACAUUUUCUAGUUUAAUUUGCUUAUUUUGCAGACAGGAAAACAGAAUCUCACCCCGACCCCCAGCCCAUUAGGAGAGGAGGGCUCUGGCCUCAGGCCUAUCAAUAACUCCUAGCUGGGGGCUCAUUGGUGAGUGGUCAAGAAAUUGCCCAACAGCGUGGUUUCGAGGGGGCCAGCCUCACCUCUCCUGGUCUUGAGAUUUUAGCUGUCCUGAGAAAGCGAAGGCUUUUGACAAGAUGACCCCCCUCCCCUAUUUUCCUUGCUUUUCCUUGCAAUUUUCCCACAAGGAAGUUCCUGGGGGCCGCUCUUGUACCUUUGGAGCUGUGACCGGCUAAGUGUGAAUAUGGGACUGUGGGUGGACUUUGAGACGCCCUGUAGAGGGAGCUUGUGGUGGAGCAAGACAGGGUCCGGAGAGGAACGCAGAUCAGAAACCGUUUCCACACUGGGUCCAUCCACUGCUGAAGCUGGAGCCAACCUAUGCCUUAGAGGUUCCGAUUCCAUGGGGCAGCAGAGUUCUUCUUUGUGCUCAGGCUCACUCAACUUCUGCCUUCCCUUAAUUUAUGUGAUCUUCCUUAGCUGGGAUUCAGCCUGAAAGAUCCAUGAUGCAACUGUAUUUCCAGAGAGAUCUGGGGAGGACAGAGAGCAUCAUCCACUCCACCUUCUUCGUUAGAAUAACGUAAUAGGCUCACAAAAUCCUCAGAACAGCAAGGAGAGACUCAUGCAACUCGAAUGUCUCCACCUUGGCCCUGCUCUCCCUAAGGCAGAAGAAGGACCUCAGAUCCCUGGAUGGGAUCGGCCAUGGAGCCCUGAGAAGCUGUGUUACUGUUGGUGCUAUGAGUCCUCUGUCAAUAUUACUAAUAUCAUUUAGUUAAAUUAAAUCUACUCUUCAACUAUUUUGUAAGAAAUCAAUACUGGCAUGUGCAUCUCUCUUUGUCCCAUCUUAUUCUUUUUUGUUUGGUUGCAUUUUAAUGGUUCUGUAUAUUCAGAAAGGAAAUAAAAAAUGAAAGCUG
rnacentral:lncRNA from 10 species